rnacentral:misc_RNA from 1 species
CCCUAGCCCGGAUUGCAGCUUUGUUUGAGCUCAUUUUUGGUUUUGGUUGCGGCGGCGAAGCCGCCGCAACCAAAACCAAGAAAAUAGCGAGUGCGGAAAGCCGGAUAAAGC